AGUGAACGCUGGCGGAGUGCCUAAUACAUGCAAGUCGAACGAAGUGGCGCACGGGUGAGUAAUAUAUAGUUAAUCUGCCCUACACAGAGGAACAACAGUUGGAAACGACUGCUAAUACCUCAUAGUGUAGGAUGAGACUAUAUCGUAUCAGCUAGUUGGUAAGGUAAUGGCUUACCAAGGCUAUGACGCGUAACUGGUCUGAGAGGCUGAUCAGUAACAUUGGAACUGAGACCCGGUCCAAACUCCUACGGGAGGCAGCAGUAAGGAAUAUUGCGCGAUGGGGGAAACCCUGACGCAGAAACGCCGCGUGGAGGAUGACACUGUUCGGAGCGUAAACGCCUUUUAUCAGGAAAGCGGUUCCUGAUGAAUGAGCACCAGCUAGCUCCGUGCCAGCCGCCGCGGUAAUUC
rnacentral:rRNA from 1 species